UACAGAGAGUGCGAACGUUGUUCGGAAUUACUGGGCUUAAAGCGCACGUAGGCGGCGCCGCAAGUGUGGAGUGAAAUCCCACGGCUUACCCGUGGAACUGCUUGGCAGACUGCGGUGCUAGAGGAUGGUAGGGGAGAGCGGAACUCCUGGUGGAGCGGUGAAAUGCGUAGAUAUCAGGAGGAACACCGGUGGCGAAGGCGGCUCUCUGGUCCAUUACUGACGCUGAGGUGCGAAAGCUAGGGGAGCAUACGGG
rnacentral:rRNA from 1 species